GAUGAACGCUAGCUACAGGCUUAACACAUGCAAGUCGAGGGGCAGCACAAGGCAGCAAUGCUGAGGUGGCGACCGGCGCACGGGUGCGUAACGCGUAUCCAACCUUCCCGUUACUCUUGGAUAGCCUUCCGAAAGGGAGAUUAAUACAAGAUGGUGUUGAAAUUCCGCAUGUUAUUUCAACUAAAGAUUUAUCGGUAACGGAUGGGGAUGCGUUCCAUUAGCUUGUUGGCGGGGUAACGGCCCACCAAGACUUCGAUGGAUAGGGGUUCUGAGAGGAAGGUCCCCCCACACUGGAACUGAGACACGGUCCAGACUCCUACGGGAGGCAGCAGUGAGGAAUAUUGGUCAAUGGUCGGAAGACUGAACCAGCCAAGUAGCGUGAAGGAUGAAGGUUCUAUGGAUUGUAAACUUCUUUUAUACGGGAAUAAAACCUCCCACGUGUGGGAGCUUGUAUGUACCGUAUGAAUAAGCAUCGGCUAACUCCGUG
rnacentral:rRNA from 1 species